rnacentral:rRNA from 1 species
ACCGAAUAGAUACCCAGGUAGUCCACGCCCUAAACGAUGCGAACUGGAUGUUGGGUACAUUACGGUACUCAGUGUCGAAAGCUAAACGCGUUAAGUUCGCCGCCUGGGGAGUACGGUCGCAAGACUGAAACUCAAAGGAAUUGACGGGGGCCCGGCACAAGCGGUGGAGUAUGUGGUUUAAUUACGAUGCAACGCGAAGAACCUUACCUGGCCUUGACAUCUGUCGAAUCCUGCAGAGAUGCGGGAGUGCCGCAAGGAACGACAAGACAGGUGCUGCAUGGCUGUCGUCAGCUCGUGUCGUGAGAUGUUGGGUUAAGUUCCCGCAACGAGCGCAACCCGUUGUCCCUAGUUGCCAGCACAUCAUGGUGGGUAACUCUAGGGUAGACUGCCGGUGACAAACCGGAGGAAGGUGGGGUAUGACGUCAAGUCCUCAUGGCCCGUUA